UUCCAGACACUGCAUUCUGAUGGACCAGCUGGCACCAUGCAGACUAGUAAACUGGUCUUGUGGCCUCUCAUCUGGUCUUGCGGCCUCUACCCAGAAACUGACUCAGUGUUGGAGUACUGUGGUGCAAUUUCAGCUUAUUGCAGCCUCAACCUUUCUGGACUCAGUCAUCCUCCCACCUCAGCCUCCCAAGUAGCCAGGACUACGUGGGACUACAGGUACACACCACCACACUCAGCUAAUUUUUUUGUAUUUUUAGUAGACAUAGGGUUUCGUCAUGUUGCCCAGGCUGGUCUCAAACUCCCAGACUCAAG
rnacentral:lncRNA from 1 species